UGAACGCUGGCGGCGUGCUUAACACAUGCAAGUCGAACGGUGAAGCCAAGCUUGCUUGGUGGAUCAGUGGCGAACGGGUGAGUAACACGUGAGCAACCUGCCCUGGACUCUGGGAUAAGCGCUGGAAACGGCGUCUAAUACUGGAUAUGAGCUCUCAUCGCAUGGUGGGGGUUGGAAAGAUUUUUCGGUCUGGGAUGGGCUCGCGGCCUAUCAGCUUGUUGGUGAGGUAAUGGCUCACCAAGGCGUCGACGGGUAGCCGGCCUGAGAGGGUGACCGGCCACACUGGGACUGAGACACGGCCCAGACUCCUACGGGAGGCAGCAGUGGGGAAUAUUGCACAAUGGGCGGAAGCCUGAUGCAGCAACGCCGCGUGAGGGAUGACGGCCUUCGGGUUGUAAACCUCUUUUAGCAGGGAAGAAGCGAGAGUGACGGUACCUGCAGAAAAAGCGCCGGCUAACUACGUGCCAGCAGCCGCGGUAAUACGUAGGGCGCAAGCGUUAUCCGGAAUUAUUGGGCGUAAAGAGCUCGUAGGCGGUUUGUCGCGUCUGCUGUGAAAUCCCGAGGCUCAACCUCGGGCCUGCAGUGGGUACGGGCAGACUAGAGUGCGGUAGGGGAGAUUGGAAUUCCUGGUGUAGCGGUGGAAUGCGCAGAUAUCAGGAGGAACACCGAUGGCGAAGGCAGAUCUCUGGGCCGUAACUGACGCUGAGGAGCGAAAGGGUGGGGAGCAAACAGGCUUAGAUACCCUGGUAGUCCACCCCGUAAACGUUGGGAACUAGUUGUGGGGACCAUUCCACGGUUUCCGUGACGCAGCUAACGCAUUAAGUUCCCCGCCUGGGGAGUACGGCCGCAAGGCUAAAACUCAAAGGAAUUGACGGGGACCCGCACAAGCGGCGGAGCAUGCGGAUUAAUUCGAUGCAACGCGAAGAACCUUACCAAGGCUUGACAUACACCAGAACACCGUAGAAAUACGGGACUCUUUGGACACUGGUGAACAGGUGGUGCAUGGUUGUCGUCAGCUCGUGUCGUGAGAUGUUGGGUUAAGUCCCGCAACGAGCGCAACCCUCGUUCUAUGUUGCCAGCACGUAAUGGUGGGAACUCAUGGGAUACUGCCGGGGUCAACUCGGAGGAAGGUGGGGAUGACGUCAAAUCAUCAUGCCCCUUAUGUCUUGGGCUUCACGCAUGCUACAAUGGCCGGUACAAAGGGCUGCAAUACCGUGAGGUGGAGCGAAUCCCAAAAAGCCGGUCCCAGUUCGGAUUGAGGUCUGCAACUCGACCUCAUGAAGUCGGAGUCGCUAGUAAUCGCAGAUCAGCAACGCUGCGGUGAAUACGUUCCCGGGUCUUGUACACACCGCCCGUCAAGUCAUGAAAGUCGGUAACACCUGAAGCCGGUGGCCCAACCCUUGUGGAGGGAGCCGUCGAAGGUGGGAUCGGUAAUUAGGACUAAGUCGUAACAAGGUAGCCGUACCGGAAGG
rnacentral:rRNA from 1 species